UUGGUUAAGUCAGGCAACGAGCGAGAUCCGCACCUUUAUUUGCCACCAAGAAGUCACGACUUCGUUGGGAACACUAAAGGGACCGCCGUCGAUGAGACGGAGGAAGGAGCGGGCAAAGGCAGGUCAGUAUGCCCCGAAACCCCUGGGCUACACGCGGGCUGCAAUGGUAUGAACAAUGGGCUGUGACUCCGAAAGGAGAAACCAAUCCCGAAAUCAUAUCUCAGUUGGAAUUGUCGGCUGUAACCCGCCGACAUGAACGCGGAAUCCCUAGUAAUCGUGUGUCAUCAACGCACGGUGAAUACGUCCCUGCUCCUUGCACA
rnacentral:rRNA from 1 species